rnacentral:rRNA from 1 species
CCUACGGGAGGCAGCAGUGAGGAAUAUUGGUCAAUGGGCUUACGCCUGAACCAGCCAAGUCGCGUGAGGGAAGACUGCCCUAUUGGUUGUAAACCUCUUUUGUCAGGGAGCAAUUGGCGCUACGUGUAGCGUUAUCGAGAGUACCUGAAGAAAAAGCAUCGGCUAACUCCGUGCCAGCAGCCGCGGUAAUACGGAGGGUGCGAGCGUUAAUCGGAAUUACUGGGCGUAAAGCGCUCGUAGGCGGUAUGUCAAGUCAAGGGUGAAAUCCCCGCGCUCAACGUGGGAACUGCCCUUGAAACUGGCAA